GGACUGCUCCAGGGACCCAGGUACCGCGCUCCCGGAUAUAAGCAAACCUUGAUUAAAAGCUGCCUGACAGCCCACGGCAGCAGCAAGCAGCAGGCAAGGAAGCUCUUCAAGUCCAAAGGGAGUCGCAGUGGCGGCUCCCGCCACGGCCAGGCUCUCAGAUGUCCCUGAUCCUUUAAUCAAUCACAGCCGAGGAGGGGAAGAGCGAACGCCCAUCUGAGGCGAGGAGGUAUGUUCCUGCAUUCAUUGCUACUGCCCUGGGAGCUCUGGAGGCCCUAAUGACACGUUAUCGGG
rnacentral:lncRNA from 1 species